ensembl:lncRNA
AAUCCUGUGAGCUGGGAUCUGUUACUGCUCCAUCUCAACAAAGAAUGGCAUCUGUGCUUUAAAAUGGCUGCAGUCUGCUUCAACUCUUAAAUGAGUAGUUUCCAUGGUAUUUUGUUGUAAAAUUGGUGCGUAGUAGUAGGGAGAUCUUUUCAGUCAGUGAUUUCAAACUCCUCCAUGAAAAGGCCAACCAUAGUGUCUAGAGAAAGCCACACCAAGUAUGAUUCUGUGUCUUUCCUGUGCUGAAAGCAGGGAGGGAAAAGAACAGAGGAUGUCGCUAACUCAGGAGUUUGGUUGACCCUGCAAUAAACUGAUGAGUGAGGACUCUGACCCGUAUUCCCGGAACAGGUUCAUUACAAAGUCUUCUCGUGAAAGAUAGGAGCUACCCCCAAAUCCCUGGUAAAUAUUUAAGCUAUUACUGCUGGAGAAGGUUGCUAGAAAAUAAAACACCGGAUUCUUGCUGGGAAAUAUUGUUUUAACUCUCCUCUAUUAAAAAUAACUAAGACUCAUGUUCCACAAGCCAAAUGUGGACACACACAGGGCUGUGAGAUGGCAACAGUCCUGUUAACAUGUCCUAAUUACAGCAAUGCUGAUGGACAAGGGCCAGCCAUGUGUCAUCUCACCUAAUGAGGGACUGAGCCCCUCAUUUGCCCUUGCUCCUCUGGAAUUACUUACUUAAUUACUAAGCCUCCACUGGGUGCUGAAAUCAUGUGAGCGCCAGUCUCCAGGGAGACGACAGUGUGGGCUACUCAGUGGCCAAGAAACUGGGCUUCUACAGGGACCACAGAGAAGGUGGUCAUAAAAAAAGGGAAAAACACCUGACUCUGAAAGUCUUCAUGACUGAGUUGUCUUGAUGUUCGUCAUGGUGUUUUCUGUCAAUUCUCUUUUCCUUUGGUUGACUUCAUUUACUAUCAUUUUACCUUCAUUGUAAGAAAGGGAAAUUAUUGCCAUUCUAAAAGUGACAUGGUGACCAGACUGGGCUGAGGCUGAGUUGCAGAUGUUUCUGAGGUGUGUCUGAGGCUGCCUCCACCUAGUACAUACUUACGCUGACUGAUCAUCAUAGAAACUUUUGUUUGGGGGCUGCUAAGAGGAGUGUUGAAACCCAGGAGCUAAUGGAGAGGAAAGAGGAGGAAAACAAGGGUUAUGUGACAUUUGCUUCGCUGCCUCCCUCAUGGGUCUGAGAGACUGGUUUAGAGGCUUGAUGGUGGAGAUGAUAGGGCUAGAAGCAGGAGGCGUUGUCUUCCUUAGAUGAAAGACCCUGGGCACAGGAAGGCAGUUCAUAGCCCACAUGUCCAUUAGUAAUGAACUGACUGUAGUAAUGGAAAGGCUCACAGAGGCUAAAACCAGUAGGGGCUUAUUUUUCUCACAUAAAAAUUGUAGAUUGGUGGCUGCUGGUGUUGGCUCAGCAGCUCAACAAGGACCUCAAGGACACAGAUUCAGCUUUUCACUCCAACCUUUUAGCCUCUUGGCUUUCUAUUCUCGCGUUUAUUGGCUAAUGGUCACAAGAUGGCUGCGUAGCUCCAAAUAUGUUAGUGUUCAAGGAGAGCAGAAAGGGAAAGGCAGCACAAUCAAUAUCUGCUCCUUGUACCAGCAUUUCAGCUUUCCCCAAAGCUUCCUAGUAGAUUUCAGCUAUGUCUCAUCGGACAGAAUUUGGGCUCAUGGCUACUUCUGGGUGCAAAGGAGGCUGGGAAAUCCAGCUUUUAGCUUUACCAACUUCUAUAGUGAAGGUAACUAAGGAAGAGGCAUGGCUGGUUAGGUGAUUUCUGGGGCCUACAGCUAAAUAAAAAUGGAGGAUCCGUUGUUCAAAAAAGGAGGAAAAAUAGCCAUUAGAAACAUUAAAGUAUAAACUGAUUUCUUUUCUUCUGCAACCGCUUUCCCUUAUCAUGACAUUUUAUUUGCUAUUUAAUGUUAUUUUAAGUAAAGAAAAAUUGACAUUUUAUAGUAUUAGCCUGAAAUUUCCCACUAAUUUUUUUUUUUAAAGAUUGGCACCUGAGCUAACAUCUGUUGCCAAUCUUUUUUUUCUUCUUCUUCCCAAAGACCCCCAGUACAGAGUUGAAUAUUCUAGUUGUAGGUUCUUCUGGCUCUGCUAUGUGGGAUGCCACCUCAGCAUGCCUUGAUGAGCAGUGCUAGGUCUGCACCCGGGAUCCGAACCAGUGAAACCCUGGGCUGCCGAAGCAGAGUGCAUGAACUUAACCGCUUGGCCACAGGGCUGGUCCCCUUUACCACUCAUCUUUACCUCAUAAGUGGAAUCACUGAAAUAACACAAUUUGUAUUUUAUACAUGCAUAUAUAUUUGAAUAUGUAUUUCAUUCUUGCCAGAACAGUGGAAACACUGCACAAAACUAACUCAACUAUUUUAAUUCACUUCUCAACACACAUACAUUCCACGUUUAGUUCACUGAUGAGUAAAGAAAGAUGGGGAAAAAAAGAGACUAUGCUUUGCCUGUCUCUUUCUUUCCUUCCAUGUCAUUAUUUUCAGCAUAAUAAGGUGGCUAAUGCAGGUAAGUAACACUAGUAAUAAAGAUAUGAUAGUGUUUCUUGGUCAUUUGUCUUUCUUUUUGUGUCAAAAGCAAGUUCUGGUUCAAAUGGGCGAUGUGACCUCUCAGGGCUGUCAUUUACUCAGUCAUAGACAUAAUACACUUACCUUUUACUCACUUUUGCUUUGAGUCACUGAACUCCUACACGUCAUGGAGCCACCUGAAUUUCAUGCUCACAGGACAAUAUAAACAUUAUGUGCAGAUGGGGUGGCAUGGAAGUGAGGGCACAAUGCGUAUUUCCUCUGCUCACGUGCGUGCUCCAUCUUCCCAUCAGACUUUGCUUUCAAAACAAAAGUCCAAAGAUAAAAUUAAGAAUUUCAAGAUGGUAACAACAGAGCAUUAAACUAUGCGUGGGGCUUUUCUGAAGCCUAAGCCCUGGGCUACUGCAUGCGUCGCCUGCCCUUGAAGCCAGCCCUGGCACGAGGUCCUUGGAAAUGGCUGAUGGAUUAGCCAAUGUGUUUCCCACAUGCCCGAGUGAUAAUUUAACCCAAAGUUGGCCCUCCUCCAAAUGCAGAUCACAGCAGUCUUUGACUCCACGGCACCCGCAGGGCAGAAGAGAAGCCCGUACAUGGGAAGCAUAGCCAGCAAAGCUGAUGGUGAGCUCAACGCUACCGGCUUUGAAAAACAACACUGGAUUCAGGGAUGCUCCACAGAAGUCAUUGAAUAGAGACAGCAAACACCUAUCAAGCUUUUCCCCCCGACAGACACUAUUCUGAGUGUGUUACAAUAAACAAUUUAAUUUUCGUAUCAAAUCCAUGAGGUGCUCCUACCACUGCCAUUUUAUAGAAGAAGACACAGAGGCACAAAAGACUAAAGGAACUGCCCAAAGUCACAUAGCUGGUAAGUGGCUGAAGUGAAGUCCCAACCUGGGCUCCAGUGUCCUUGCACUUAACCUUAAAUUAACCACUUAACCACCCUAUUACCUCCAAAAACUGGCUCCAUUGCCUUUAUGCUGGCGUAGUUUACAUUCACCAAGAUUUUAUUCUAUUCAUGGUGCUUCUCUCCUCUUAUUCUUCCUAUAAAUAAUAUGCUUAUCACAAAAAGGGAUGAAAAAAAUGUUUUGAUUGUUGACAAGUUGAUCCCGCUUUGGCUUUUCCAGAGCUCAUCUUCAGGAUGAAUUAAGCAUUACUUCGAAGUUUGAAUUUUCUAGUUGUUACAAAUGCAACACAUCAAUGUAACCUCACACUCAGUCCAUUCUAGUUCAGUUAUUUCCCAUCAGCAUGUGUAAGUGUAUUUAAUGCAAGCCUAGACCGCUCACAAUGAAGGAUGGGCUGUGAGUAAUGUUCUCCCAAUUUUUUCUACAUUAUAAAUAGCAAAUCAUCCUGCAUCUGCUCAAAGGCAGGCUAGGUGCACGUUCCAG